GGCAGGUCCAAAGGUCUUGCUUGCUCACCGUCAGCAGCAGACAGACCACCCUGUCCUGCUCCUUCCCCCUUCUCACUACUGCACGUGACUAGUCUUAC
rnacentral:Y_RNA from 1 species